UUCAUUUCAUUUCUUCAGUUCAAAACAGUUACCUUUUUUCUCCCCAAAAUCACAUGAAAAACCCUAGAAAUCUCAUUGAUUUUUUUGAUCAAAAAUCUCAAUUUGAUCUGAUUUAGUCCAUCAAUUUUCUAUUUUUUUUGGAUUUUAUAGGUAUUUUAUUGUAUAAUUGGAUCACCUGUUUGAUUAGCAGCCAUGCCAGUGGCGGCUUCAGCAAUAUACUUUUUGAAUCUCCGGGGCGAUGUCCUUAUCAACCGUCUCUACAGGGACGAUGUUGGGGGUAAUAUGGUAGAUGCCUUCCGGAUGCAUAUAAUGCAGUCAAAAGAACUUGGUACAUGUCCCGUACGGCAGAUUGGAGGCUGUUCUUUCUUGUACAUGAGAAUUAGCAAUGUCUAUAUUGUGAUUGUAGUUAGCACCAAUGCAAAUGUCGCAUGUGCAUUCAAGUUUGUGGUUGAGGCUGUUGCACUAUUCAAAUCUUAUUUUGGUGGUUCUUUUGACGAAGAUGCCAUUCGUAAUAACUUUGUCCUAAUUUACGAGCUUUUGGAUGAAAUAAUGGACUUUGGUUACCCUCAAAAUCUUUCACCUGAAAUCUUGAAACUCUACAUUACCCAGGAAGGUGUCCGGUCAUCCUUUUCAUCCAAGCAUGUAGAUAAGCCAGUUCCAAAUGCAACAUUGCAAGUAACUGGUGCGGUCGGUUGGCGCAGGGAGGGUCUUGUUUAUAAGAAGAACGAGGUAUUUCUGGAUAUUGUGGAGAGUGUUAAUCUCCUUAUGUCGUCAAAAGGUAGCGUCCUCCGUUGUGAUGUAACUGGAAAAGUUCUCAUGAAAUGCUUCCUUUCUGGAAUGCCUGAUCUGAAGUUGGGCUUAAAUGAUAAAAUUGGUCUUGAGAAAGAGUCACAACUCAAGUCCCGUCCGACUAAGAGCGGUAAAACUAUUGAGCUCGAUGAUGUUACUUUCCACCAAUG
rnacentral:misc_RNA from 1 species